rnacentral:rRNA from 1 species
CGCGUAGUUAGCCGUGGCUUAUUCAAGGGGUACCGUCUUCUGCUCUUCCCCCUUAAAAGAAGUUUACAACCCGAAAGCCUUCUUCCUUCACGCGGCGUUGCUGGGUCAGGCUUGCGCCCAUUGCCCAAUAUUCCCCACUGCUGCCUCCCGUAGGAGUCUGGGCCGUAUCUCAGUCCCAAUGUGGCCGGUCAACCUCUCAGUCCGGCUACUGAUCGUCGCCUAGGUGGGCCGUUACCCCGCCUACUAGCUAAUCAGACGCGAGGCCAUCUUCCAGCGAUAAAUCUUUGACAUGUCCGUGAUGCCACGGCCAUGUGUCAUGCGGUAUUAGCAGUCGUUUCCAACUGUGUCCCCUCUGGAAGCAGGUUCCUCACGCGUUACUCACCAGUCCGCCACUAAGCAUUCCCUUCCAUUGUCCGAAAACUCUUUCAGGGGUGCUCCGUUCGACUUGCAUGUGUUAAGCUACGCCGCCAGCGUCGUCCUGUAGCCAGGACUACGAAACCUACU